CAUGCUUCUCUCCGUCUCUGCCUCAAUCCACAGUCCUGUUAAAUAAAGGCAUGUCUCACCCUCUCUGAAGGAGCCGCCGCUGCCCCAGUUUGAGGCGGGGCUUCCCUUCUUCCGAGGGCUGGUGUUAGAUCGUCUGAGCUUCCCGCUGUCCCGUCCUUUCCUCCCUCCUCCUCUUUCUCCUCCUCCUCCUCCACUGCUUCCUCUGUAGGAGCUGAUAGCUGACAGAGGGAAGGCCCCGCCCCUAAACUCCAACAGCUGAUGAAUGAUCCUCUGUGACGCACCGUGUCGAGGCAGAGGGCAGCCUGGGAGAACAGCCUUGUUGACCAGGAUGCUGAGGGCGGCCUUCACCACAGCCUGCUGCCCGGCACUCAGCCCACAGUUGCUAGGAGACAGCCUCUGCGACGAUGGUGAUGAGGGAGAGGAGGAGGAGGAAGAAGAAGAGGGACGCUUGGCUGUUACCCGGGAGAUGAUGGCUUCCUCCACACGGGGUACAACCACGGCGUUCCAGAGCCGAGACAGCCAUCUAAACAAACGCACACUCAUUUAGCUCCGGGUGUUUAUUGUCUCUCUUGCUGCUCUGGCUUCAUCAUCAUUUGACUUUAUACAUCUUUAGUGCUCUGAAACAAAGAGUCUCAGCUUUUAGAGAAACAACCCAUACACACCUGACGACAGCCUGCGUGUUGUUGGGGAUCACAGGGCAGGACAGGAAGAGCUGAGGGCCCAGCAAAGCCUCAUGGGUGCCGAGGCGGGACAAACAGGCGUUGAGCUGCUGCCAAACCUGGCUCACCCACAACACAGAGCGCUCCAUGACACCUUCAGGUGACCAAACAUCAGUCCCCGUCUGUGGGAGAGGUGGAGGAGGAGGUUAAAGCUACAACUUUACACUUUCCUGUGAAGGUGUUUUUCACUCUGAGUGUCGAAGCAGAGAUCAGAGUCAGAUGUCACUCCUAAAUGUUCCAUUAAAAGCCUUCACUAACUAUUUAAA